GUUAAGCGACUAAGCGUACACGGUGGAUGCCCUGGCAGUCAGAGGCGAUGAAGGACGUGCUAAUCUGCGAUAAGCGUCGGUGAGGUGAUAUGAACCGUUAUAACCGGCGAUUUCCGAAUGGGGAAACCCAGUGUGUUUCGACACACUAUCAUUAACUGAAUCCAUAGGUUAAUGAGGCGAACCGGGGGAACUGAAACAUCUAAGUACCCCGAGGAAAAGAAAUCAACCGAGAUUCCCCCAGUAGCGGCGAGCGAACGGGGAGGAGCCCAGAGCCUGAAUCAGUGUGUGUGUUAGUGGAAGCGUCUGGAAAGGCGCGCGAUACAGGGUGACAGCCCCGUACACAAAAAUGCACAUAUUGUGAGCUCGAUGAGUAGGGCGGGACACGUGGUAUCCUGUCUGAAUAUGGGGGGACCAUCCUCCAAGGCUAAAUACUCCUGACUGACCGAUAGUGAACCAGUACCGUGAGGGAAAGGCGAAAAGAACCCCGGCGAGGGGAGUGAAAAAGAACCUGAAACCGUGUACGUACAAGCAGUGGGAGCCUCUUUAUGGGGUGACUGCGUACCUUUUGUAUAAUGGGUCAGCGACUUAUAUUCUGUAGCAA
rnacentral:rRNA from 1 species